GAUGAACGCUAGCGGCAGGCCUAACACAUGCAAGUCGAGGGAGAAGCCUUUCGGGGCAGAAACCGGCGCACGGGUGCGUAACACGUAUGCAACCUACCUUUCACAGGGGGAUAGCCCGAAGAAAUUUGGAUUAAUACCCCAUAAUAUUGUUGGAUGGCAUCAUUUGACAAUUAAAACUGAGGUGGUGGAAGAUGGGCAUGCGUCCUAUUAGCUAGUUGGAGUGGUAACGGCACCCCAAGGCUACGAUAGGUAGGGGUCCUGAGAGGGAGAUCCCCCACACUGGUACUGAGACAGGGACCAGACUCCUACGGGAGGCAGCAGUGAGGAAUAUUGGUCAAUGGUCGGAAGACUGAACCAGCCAUGCCGCGUGCAGGAAGAAUGCCUUAUGGGUUGUAAACUGCUUUUAUAUGGGAAGAAUAAGGUGUACGUGUACAUUAAUGACGGUACCAUAUAAUAGC
rnacentral:rRNA from 1 species